AUAUUGCCGAUAGAGCAGGCGGCUAUUGAUUUAGCGCGGCCGGGUCUUUAAGACAGCAGGAUUUUAAAUUACAGCCCUGUGGGACGUUA
rnacentral:ncRNA from 2 species